AAGCCGAUGAGGACUAAAUUUUGAAUUGGAAUUACCGUCUGAACAUACAUUUGAUGUGAAUUUCUGGCUUACUGAGGCUUCCU